rnacentral:lncRNA from 1 species
GUUCAAUUAGUUAUGACAGCAAAGUUACUGAUCAUUAUGGAGAAUGACAACAGAUCAACUGUAUCAAUCUUUUUACUGGACCCAAGAUUAUCAUCUUUUAUGAGUGGUGACCUGACCUUUAAAUUAAGAUUCAAAAUGAAUAGGUAUUACUUGAAUUGAACAAGGUAGACACAGAGAACUAAGUUUUUGCUAGCUUAAAUAGAGACGACCUUUAUAGUAGUUCUAACAUGUGUGAAGCUGCUAUUUGUUUGUUCUUUUAGGUUUGUGACCAUGUUUUUUUUUCUCUUCUUGACUGGAGGUUUUGUUCUUAUCAAUUUCAAAAAUGAAUGGGGUGUGAAAAAUAAUAAAAGACAUCAAAUUUAAUUGUUUAUUAUGAAAAAUUUGAACACAUCAAAUACUUCAAAUAAUGCAUUAUAAUAUUCAUUGU